GUACUGGCAACGACCCUAAACAUGUUACCAGGUCUUAUCCAUUCCCCGUUAAUUUGCACCACCCCCAAACACUACAUUCGCUUUGGCUCACCCUUUAUCCCUGAGAGACGUCGAAGGCCCCUUCUGCCUGAUGGCACAUUCAGCUCCUGUAAGAAGGGCAGGAGAGCCACAGAGUGGUGAGCAACCUACAACUGUAUAUCUUAAGAGAACACAAUUACAG
rnacentral:lncRNA from 1 species